UUUCCCUCUCUCUUCCUGAUAGAAAGUGUUCAUUGCACGAACGUAUUACGCCAUCUCUCGUAAGCGAAACGACGAGUCAUGAUCGGUCAUGAAAGAGUGCUAGGCGCUUCGUCUAAACAACACCGGAAGUUGAUGACGUCCGUUCCUGAGUGAAGAUACCGUUUGGCCCCGUUUCAAACCGAUAGCCCAUUUCCUGGUGAACAAUACCAAACCUUAUCCAACAAACAAAGUAAAAAACUUUUUUGAUGAUUAAUCAUCGCUAUUGUCUUCCUAUUAAAUCCACCCACGAAAAGACCACAACAAUUGGAACGGAUUCAUAAACAAUUUAUUGGUCAUCAGAGAUGUUGAAGAGGCCAUUACAAAGUUUUGAUUGAAGAAAAUGAAGUCAAGUUUCCAAUCAACAGUUUGUUGAAGAAGAAAGUAUAGGGAAAGCUUUGAUAGAGUAGAGAAGGGGUGAUAUGAUAAGAGGGAGGGGAAGAGGAUAGAGUACACUGCCGUUAGGAAGUCUUUUGCUAAGUAUUUUCGGAGCAAAGACUUCCCGGUGCAGAGAUCUUCGUCAGGUCGAGUCUUACAAAUUGCGGCACGGGUGCAACGUACCUGUUGUUUACCACAUAGCGGGUUCAAAGCCCGGUCAGUGCAACGGUCCUUUCCUUCCUUCCUUACCCUGCUCAACUCUCUUCUGUCUCUGUUUUUCUCCCCACCAUCGAAGAUAUAAAGAAAGAAAGAGAGAGAGACAAACAGAAAGACAGAAAGAAAGAGAAUUAGCAAGCAAGUAGAAAAGAGAAGAUCAUCCAUCGUGUAGUCCAGCAAGGCAACGCAAGGCUGAGAAAGAAAGGAUAGAGAGAGAGAGAGAGAGAGAGAGAGAGAGAGAGAGAGAGAGAGAGAGAGAGAGUUGGUAGUAGGCCGUGCUUCCAACUCUUCUUCGAGGAAGCUCAACACCAGAAGCCGUUCUCGUCUCGUCUGCAAAAUGGUAUGGACGAACUGACGCGUUCAGGAGUUCCUCUUUAUUCUUUUUUCGCUCCUUCUCUAUCUCUCUCUCUAUCUCUCUCUCUCCUUGUAUCUUCAGUAAAGAGAAAGAGAGAGGAAUGAGUUUUUUCUAACAGCAUCAGCAACAUCAGUUAGAAGUAGAAGUAGCUACCACCUGUUCAGUAUCAAUACACCUGGCAGGGGGUACACUGGACUUUUCCUGGAUAACGGAACCAACUUAGAAAUCUGUUAUAAAUCCGUUUGAUUCAUAUUUCAAGAACACUUAUCUUUUAGCACAUAGAUAUAUGAUAUAGCAAAGAAAAGAAGACAAAGUUUAAAAAGUACGAAGAGGAAGGGUUGAGAAUAUAAGAAAUACAGGAAGGGAAAGAGAAACGAAAACGAUGAAAGUAGGGUUGAUAGUGAACCCGAUGCUCCGAAGAAGAGGACCGGAUUGGCCAAUCCGGCCAAGCUCCGUACUACGGCGUAGUACUCCAGAGGGACCAGGGUUCAAAGCCCGGUCAACACCAUGUCCAUACUUCUUUCUCUCUCUCUUUCGUUUCCCCCCACUCAAGUUCUUCUGUUUUCUUCUGUUCGUGUAUCUCUCCUCUCGGCCAUUUCACGAACACAAACCUCUCGGCAAUAACACAACACGCAAACUGGGAUCACUCUUCUCUUCCUCCUCCUCCUCCUUUUUCUCUCCCCCUCUUCUUCUUCUUCGAGUCUUGCUCCUCUUUGCCCUGAGGCUGUUGUAUUCGGGCUCUGCUGGUGAUUCACCAUCGGCCGAAGAUAAGAGGCCAAUAAAAAGAGUGCGAUUCAGAGCGAAUGGAUGCGGGGAAGGACUAAGGGAUCAGGAGGGAAAGAGAGAAAAGGGUAGAGGCACAAGGGGAAGGGAAAGGGAUGACUACGUGCUCCGCAUCACGGUGGACCAAAAGGUUCCUGGUUGUGAAUUCAAUAAAUUAUUCAUAUUUCAAAAUACGUACACUGAACGACGAGGAAGCUGCGCAUCCAUGAAUAAUAUCGAAGAUAGAAAUAUCUAUGUGCACGUACACCAAGAAGGAGUCUCUGCAAAUAUCAGACACACAAGUUGGGUACUUAUUGUAUUUGUAUAUCUACUCCUAUACGGUCAACACGAUAAGACUUAAUCUCGUGCGUGUGUGCGUUGCCAUUAUCACAUUCUUGGUUAUCAAUUUAUAUAGCGCGAGGUUGGCUCUACUCGCUAGUUCGCUGUAUAAAUAUUUUCCGCCAAAAUCUAAUCGCAAAUGAGAAUGUGCGAGCGAGACGGAGAUAGGGAAGGAAUCUUGCGACGUAAUUAAACGCUAGGAGAGAUGCAUGGGAAUUUAGAAACCGGAUCGAGUAAAGCAACCCAGUCUCUCACAUAGCAACAAGGAAACCUCUUAAAGAAUUUCCAUCAUGGUUUCUAUGUCCGAGUCGUAAAUCGAAGAGGAGUUCGGUUGAGCUAGGAAAAGUCUUGUCCUCCCUCCGUAGUUGUUCAACAUUGUGGGAAGACCACCGCCAAGAACUUUUUCCUGGAUAUAUCUUCUUCUUGCAACACAGCAUUUAAUAUACUAUAGUGUUGAAAACUAUAAGAAAGGACAUUUGGACAUGGACAAAAUAUAAUCAGUCGUCAUGUAAGACACUUUGUAUGACGGUAGCUCGACGAAAAACUUUCCUUUUGAAGCGUGCUACCCUCUUAAAGGUCAAUGAUCGAAAAAUGACCUGCAUCUCUUCGUGCAGCUCCCCUCUACUUCUACUUCUUCUUCUUUUUCUUCUACUUUUUCUUCUUCUUCUUCUUCUUCUUCUUCUCUUUGAAAUACGACGUAGCACAAAACAUGCAUCUUCUAAUGGUGCUUAACCCUUAAACGGUGAAACAAAGGGUUCCCUCUUCUUAGGAAUUCUAUGAAAAUGAUCUUGAAGGUUUAUAACGUUUUCUUGGAAUAUUAUUUUGAAGAACCUUGUGGCUCGUCGUUUAAUUUAAUAGAACUGUUAGCUCAAUUGCGGUUUUAAAGUAAUGAACUUCUUAACGAAAAAAAAAAGAUUUUCAAGGCUCACAUCCAUUUAAUCCUUUUAAAGACACAAAAAGAGGAAAGAUAAUAUCGUGUGAAAAGAGAAAAGAAGAGAAGAUAAAGGAUAGAAGAUAGAAGAAGAUGAGGCGAUAUCAAAGAAGAGAGACAGCCUAGAGAAAGAGAUACACGAGGUGAGGAAUAAGAAACUGUAAUUGCCAGGCAAUGACUUUGCUGCAGAAAUUGCUUCAGCGUCGCGUGGAAACGUUGGUGUUAAAGUAGCGUGGAGAGAAGCUCCUUUCUCUUUCUCUCUUUCUGAGAAACAGGAUAAAUCCGAAGAGAGAGAAAACGCUCCGGUACAAAGUACUGGAACUCGCACAAGAAAUUGUGGAACUGAGCUUCGCGAACGAAUAUUCGCGCGAUUAAGAAAAAGAGAAGGAAAAAGGAUAGAAAGAGAACGGGUAAAAUUAAAAUGAUGAGUUAAACAAAGAAGAUUGGAAAAGAAGAAAGAUAACUAAAAAGUGAAAAAAAGGAUAGGAAAGAAGGAGGGUUGCGAAAAUUUCGAAGCGAACAACUUGAUAAUGCAUCAGGACUCGUUGCACCUGUGGCGAGUACAUACUCUCUGGAGCCUAGCUCCUCUUGCGCUUGCUUUCUUAGCGUAUGCAUUAAACGCACGUACAUCAGCCUGGGGCCAACAGCUUCUCUCUGGGUUCGGUUGGACUCUCGACUUGCUUGCACCGGCAAUCACGAUAAUCGUGAAGUUUAUCGAGAAGCUUGGCUGUGAUUAACGAGGAUCGCUUUAAAUCUUCUGAGAGAAGGAAGACUACGUGAUAUGGUGUUGUGUGGUGGUGGUGAUGAUGUUGGAUGGCGUUGUUUUCAUUGAAAUAUACGUCACCACUCUUCUCUCUAUCUAUCUCAUAAAUUCGUGAAAUUACUGAUGAAUAUUCUUACAACUUUUGUCAAUGUCGAAAGAGUACUGUUAACCAGAUUCAAGGCGUUUCUAUUUCAACGUUUAACAUCAAUCCCAAGUGAAAUUAAAUUCAUUGACUUCAAUUGAAAUUUAAUUGAAUGCUAGCGUAGAUCAAAUUUCAUUUGCAAAAUUGCGAUUGCAAUUAAGUUUCCUUCUUUGAAUCAUUCAUUUGUUUUAUAAAACAGAAAGAAAUAUUCACAUACACAUAUGAGACAUAAGUAUUUCAACAUGGAUCGAGCCUCGAAAAAAAAUCAUUUCUAUAAAACAGCAAAAAGUGUAGGAAUCUAUGAUAUGUACAAUUGCGUUUAAAAAGUCGAAAUAUCAUCUUUGGCUGGUGCAGUAUCAUCGACGGACGAUCCGGACGACCGUGAAAACGCUGACGCAGCUGCGGCCGAUCUUACCGCGGGCUUCGAUCUCGAUCCGCCCUCGGCAAGAGGCUCGACCUGCAUCGCCAUUUUUAGUCACGAUCGAAAGAAAGAGAGAAAGAGAAAGAGAAAGAGAGAGAGAGAGAGAGAGAGGGGGAGAAAGAGAGAAAAGCGACCUCUCAUCCUCUCAUCCUCUCCCUUCUCUUCUUCGUCGCCGUCGUCGUCCUCCUCUUCCUCCUCCUCCUCUUUAUACGAACGCUACUUCUGCAGCCAAGGCCAUUUUAAUAGCGCAGCGCAUUUAUCAUUUGGGCGAAAACAACGUCGAUCGAGGCUAGCGAUAGGAACGAAUUGCCAUGUCGAUUCAACCGCUAACUUAAUUCUGAAACUAACAGCAAGGUAAAAAAGAAACAAGAAUUAGGCGAGGAAGAGGAAACUCGGUAGUGUCGCGUGACACGAAAAAGUCGAUGCCCCCAUGGUUGUUGGUCGGGCAAGAAGCCGGAGGCUUGAGCGUGGCUAGAUUCACCCAGAGAUCGUUGCUAUCGCAGCGUCGUCUCGUUAUCCGACACCGCGAGUACACACGCCGGGGCACCGACUUCUAGCUUUACCUUCGACGACGACACUGUUGCUAAGGGAAUCCGAUUACGUCUCUUCUUCUUGCAAUUACAAUCGAUCUAAUCUACUAGCUUCCAAACAUUUUUCUGACACGCUUCUAUUCCAAACAAAGGCUAUGUCUUAAUAACAACACACACAACGCUUUAAUUAAUUAGAAAUAAAUUGUAUAUGAGAAUCCAAGAGGGAGAGGAGAACAGAAGAAGAAAAAAUAGAAAAAGAGAGGAACGUUUGACAUUAAUUUAUACGACACAACCAAGUAGAUCCACACAGACAAUAAUCGAUUUAUUCGAAUCACGCGUUGCGGAAUCAAUCGGCGGUGAUGGCGUGUGGACUAAAUUGAUUUUCUCGUUCCAUGUUGAAAGAGUGUCUUCCUCUUUUGGUCCAGCACCAGCACCAUCAUCAGUACCCGUCCCUCUUCCUUCCCCUCGUCGUACGGCUUUCGACUAGAAAGCACAAAAAGAAAAAAAGAAUAAAAACAAGAAGAAGAAAAAGAUGACGAAAAAAAAGAAAAAAAAGGAAUAAGAGAAAGAGGGUGGACAGAUGAAGAAAAAGAAAAAGAAAAAGACAAGAAGUACAAGAAGAAGAAGAAGAAGACGUCGAGAGAGAACUGGCGAGAAUGAAGAAGUCGGUGGAAGGAGGAGUAGGAGUAAAAGGAGAGGGGGCGAGGAGGGAGAAGUAAAGGGGAGGAACGUGAUGGCGAUGCACGAAGAAGAAGUCGAAGAAGAAGGUCAGUUUUUGGUCCGGAUUGCAUGAAAUUUAUAAACUUAAAAUGAAAAAGAAAGAAAGAAAGAAAGAGGGAGAAGAGAUGGUCAGAAAGGAUUAUUUUCUUCAUGAUUUCUGAUCCAGUGCCAAACGGCGUUAAUGGAACAAGACCGGCAGCCGUCCGGUUUCAGUGCCGCUUUUGUAGACUCGCGCGCGCACGCUUGGAAUAACCCUUCAAAAUACUUUGGCGUAAAUUUAUCAGUGACGUCCGUCCAGUUGAAAAAUAUACCUACCUUCUCGUCUCUACCAUUUUUCGCUACCGCUUUUGCUUCCAAGACAACACGUUAUGAUAUACCUGAAAUCAUCGAAAUUAAAUAGAAAAAAAAUAGAAAGAAAAGGUGGAAGCUGAUUGAUUACGCAACGACGUGUUUUACUCGGUAGAUCAAACAGAUUUAUUAAACAUACGAGGGCAUAUUUUCAAAUGCUAAUUAGUAUUCUGAAUUACUGCUGGCCUAACCAAAUGAUUAGGAUAAUCAAUAACAAAAUAAAAUAUAUAGGAUAUAUAGGAACAUAAUAAAAAAAGGAUUUUCUGAUAUAACUUGUACCCUUCAAGAUAAAAAAGAAGAUAAUAUGUUAUUAUGAAGAAAACGCAUUUCACUAACGCUCUCGGAAUGUUAGAUCGAACACAACGUUACGCAACACAGCCGAAUUCUUUUCGAGCAAGGCCACAGAUCUAGAAUAUAAAGGAGGCCUUUGGCUUGUGCGUGAAUAUCUUUCAAACAAAAUUACCAAGAAUGUGAAUGGCAAGAAAAACAACCGAAAAAAGAAGAAGGAGAAUCGAUCUAAUCGCGAAUCGAAUGAAUUCCAUUGAUCUUUAUGUAAAAAAUAAUACCAGUUAACGUAGGUGUUCUGUUUGCUCGGGAAACGAUGAAUAAGAAAAAAGUAAGUGAGAAAGAAAACACGAUGAAGAAGAAGAAAAGGAUAAAAGUAGACGGAUAAGAAGACAGGGAAGAGAUGCAUUCUGCAAGUAUAUUACAAGGUGUGUCUUGGCUGGUUGGUUGGUAGUAUGUUGGCUACUCAACUUAAAGUAAAGGCGAUUACGUCAAAUCAAGACUCCAUACGAGAGGAUUUUUAACCUAACGUCCUUCUCUUCUCCUUUCUUCCUCCUCUUUACAAAGUAUAUACAUUGUAUUACUACUGCUGAGAAUGCCAUUGAAACGCAGGAUGUAAGAAGAAACGAUGUUGAGACCUGGCUAAAGGUCUUAUGCUGCUAUGUAUUAAGAUACUUUAACCUUUCCGUACGCUUAAUGGGAAAUUAUACAUAACUAUCGUUCGUCUGCCAAGGUAAGGAAUUAUAAAAAGUAAGAAAGACGAUGAAGACUCGAUAACAAAUCAUCAUUUCCAUCCGUUGUAACAAGAAGUUUUACUGUCAGUGUGAGAGAAGAACGAAGAAAAGAAGAUGUGGGGGAAGGAAAGAAUGAUUUCAGGAUCAGUGGGGGGUUGUUCAGUAAAGAGGAGGGCAUCGCAAGAUUCGACGAUUUUAAUCUCUCCUCUUCUGAUAUCCUCCUCCUUGGUACCUCCUGGAGACUUCUGCAAACCUGUCCUCUUUUAACAGCCAAGCUUGUCCUCUUUCUAUCUCUCUUUUUCUUUCUCUCGUAAUAUCUUCUCUUUUCUCUGUUCCUUUUUCUUCUU